rnacentral:tRNA from 1 species
CAAAGAGUAGCUUACCUAAAGCAUUCGAUCUACACUCGAAUAACAUUUUCUUAAAUCUCUUUGA